rnacentral:lncRNA from 1 species
GUAAAUAAUUUUUGUAGCGUAAAAGUAAAAUAAAUUCAUACAUACAGUGGCACACGCAGCCAGGUAUACAAAACAUUCUACAAUGACAUGUGGGCCUCCUAAAUAACCGAAAUAUACAAGACUGUAGACCUUCAAUUUCUAAAGAUGCAAUCUAAAAGCAACCCUCGACAAAAUCGACUGUCUACAGACUGUCCUAAGCCUGAAAUGGAUAAAAAGAAGAGGUGAGUUUUUAUAAACCCAGUGAGUAAGCAAAUUUCAUCUAUAACAUCUAAAGCAGAGUAAAUGGAGACAAUUUAAAACAUCUCAGUAUAAUAUGAUUCAUAAUAUCAAAUUUCAUUUCAAUCCGUAUAAAUCAAUUACAUUUCAUCAAAAAUAAUUAACAAGGCUUAUGACUCUCUUAAAAACUUGGCUCAUGCCUAAAACUCGUACUCGGUGACACCUUGGCCCGGGGCAUCCAACCGAGUCUGCCAAGGCUGUUAAAAUAACAUAUGCACAUAAAACAAGUUUUUACGUUCAAAACACAGCCGUUCCUUGGCGUUGAAUGAGUUUCACCUUCACGUGGUGGUUCGGUGUGAAGUGAACUCUAAUGUUACCUUAGGAGAUACCCUCCGUGCCUCUCGUACCAAGGUAAAAUAUAACCGGGUUUACCGUGCCCCUCUAAUAGGUUGGUCCACGAAAACCCGCCCACUGUAGUAAGCUAAUCAAAUAACCCACCAAUUCAAUAAAUUUUUCGACAGCAUGACAUGGCUAAUAUAAUAUUACCAGCUUGUCAAGGCAAAGCAAAAUAGUUCAUAUAUUCCACACAAACACAAAUCCAGCCAUGCUUGCCAUCACAUUGUCAUAAGCCAUCAAUUCAAACCAUAUGUCAAAACAUAUAUAUAACACAAGUAUACAGUCUCCACUUACUCAAUUUCCAAAACUAAUAUUCAAUAUCAAAUCAAGUUAUAAAUCUCAUUUCGUUUAAUCAACACUUCAAUUAUAAAACAUAAUAGUUUGCAAUUUAAAUUCAUUUUUCUUUAAAACAUAAAAACGAGUAUAAACUACUUUAGAUAGUUAAGAUGAAAGUCUGAUUACUCACAAUAACGGGAGUAUGAAGUACUCCUAUUCUUGAUCCUCGGGUACGAUAUCCUUACCCUUACUAGAGGGCUCACCACCUAUACAUAAUACACGACACGUAAUUCAAUAUAUUUGUACCAAACUGUCAUAAAACUAUUUCAGGCUCUAUAUGAAUCCAUGAAAUUGAAUGAGAAAUGUUCGGAUAGUCACUUAAAGAUGGUGUUCUACGUAGGUUCAAUUGUGAUCGGAAUGAAUUUGUAUUUGACCUACUUCGAACUAUACACCAUUGAUUUAACCAAAACAUUCGAUUCAACUCCAAAUAUAUUCGUUACACUCCCAAUAAUCUGAUACACCAAAGCAUUACAAUGAACUUGAUUUUUUACUAACUUCACCAUUUUUCGAAAUUCAUUCCAAUUCCGAACUAACAUACUAAUCAAUGUCAACACAGUCUCGUAAAUCCAUCUAUAUAUCAUUAGGAAUCAAAUCCAAGUCCAUUUAUUAUGAUUUUCGCAUUUUCCAUCAAGCCAUUUUAUAAAGGAACUAUACUUUUCAAUAACCGAUUUUGAUAUCCAACAUCAUAAUUCAUCAAUUCCUAGCUAAAUAAUAUGAAUUACAACCAAAUCCAUCAUUAACAUGCCCUAUAGAAAAUUCGGCGAAAUGAGGGUGGUUAAAGAACAUGUGAUUUUCUUGCUUGUUUUUCCUUCCAAACAUCACAAAAUGACUAAAAACACUAGGAUAUUAUGAAAUCUAGCAAAAUUCAUCACCAAAACUUCUCUCUCUAGGUUUGGCCAGCAAAGGUUCCCUCUUGAAAACUUGAAUUUCAACCAUGGAGAAUGAAAAAGAAUACAUGGGAAAAAUAGAUCACAAGCUAAAAAAAAUCUUACCUUUACUUGCUUGAUUCCUUGAAAUCGAACAAUUUCUCUUGAAUUUUCCUUCCUAGGGUUUGCUCUUCUCUUUUUCUCUUUGUUCCCUU